rnacentral:lncRNA from 1 species
GACAGUUUCACUGAUAACAAAAUUUCUUUUUUUGUACAUCAAAGAUUUUUAGGAAAAAUCUCACAAAGCUGUGGUAUCAUGUUUUCUUCAUAAACAAGAACAGGCUAGUCCUGGAAAGGAAUCAUUUUACUUGAAGUUAAGGAUACCUUUGUGUAAACCAUGUUAUAUUAAAUAUAUUAAGGCUCCAUAUGGAGAAUAUUUUAAUUGAUAUCUCUACUUCCUGAUUUCCCAGUUUGGUUUCCUUCAGUAUUCUACCCCACGUAUCUUUGACCUCUGUUUUUAUAAACUGUUUUAUAAAUCAAGAGCUACAUUUUCCUUCAGGCUACUACCCCUAUUUACCUUUAUGAAGACUUUUUUCUUUAUAAUCUUGUUUUCUUUUUCUAUGAUUAAAAUCUUUUCUUGAAUUUUUAUUUUUAUUUUUUGUUGUGCUCUCUUUAUUUUUUUAAAGUUGUGUCAAUUGAAUAUUCAUUUUUUUCCUAUUGAAAGAAUCCAAAGCUCAAAGAAUUUAAGAAUUUUAAGGAAUUUUCACCUAUCAAUGUACCCUCUCACCCUUCAAUAUGUAUUUGACAUGCUGGCCAAAUGAUGGUCAUGAUGAUGACCCUGAAACGUAUAGAUAUGAAAGGGACUUUUGUGGAUAUAGAAAGGAAUAGCAAUAAGAUUCAAACUGAGGUUCCUUCAUGCUAACUCAGUACUUUUCCUGAUUAUCAUUGUGUAGUAAAUGUGUUCAUAACAGGUUAGGGAGUGUAUGUAGAAACCCAACUAAAGUGGAUAAGACUGGGAUUACUAAGUAAGCCCAGUAAUAGAGUAUCAGAGUGACACUAACAAAUGGAAGGGCAAAACUGAAGAGAAACAGCACUGUGUUUACUAGAAAUAAGGGUUGUAGAAAAUUGACCAAAACCUUGGGGUUUAUGACCAGUUUGAUUAACACAAAAUGGAUAUUAAGGACAUAGAAUAUUGGAAGCUGUCUAGAAAGGCCUAUUAAAAAUAAGAUUUGAAGGAAGUCCUGAUAGGUUGUUAUUUUCUUGUUUGUUUAACUGGAAGAAGUGACAAAAUUCAAGGUUUUUUUUUUUUUUGUUUGUUUGUUUUUUAAAAGAUGUUAAUAUAAUUUGAGCCAUGGGAAAAGUCUCCAGAGUUUAGAGAUCUGAGAGUGGCUUAGGGACUCUAAAAACCCAGGAGACUAGAAUUUGUUGGACACAUGGAUCUACAGUCUAGCAAGUGUCCAUUCUCCUCUACUUCUUUUCUCAACUCAUUGAUGUCCUUCUUAUGUGCACAUAUAGUAGAUCAUGAAAAUAAUUGGCUGGCAAAGUCAUUGAAGAGCUUCAGUUAGGUAGUUGGUAAAAUGUUUAUGCUAAGGCCUGUGACUGAGACUCCAUUCAGUUUGUUUC